UACGUAGGGUGCGAGCGUUAAUCGGAAUUACUGGGCGUAAAGCGUGCGCAGGCGGUUCGUUGUGUCGGUGGUGAAAUCCCCGGGCUUAACCUGGGAAUGGCCAUGGAAACUGGCGAACUGGAGUGUGGCAGAGGGGGUGAAUUCCGCGUGUAGCAGUGAAAUGCGUAGAGAUGCGGAGGAACACCGAUGGCGAAGGCAGCCCCCUGGGCUAACACUGACGCUCAGGCACGAAAGCGUGGGGAGCAAACAGG
rnacentral:rRNA from 1 species